rnacentral:misc_RNA from 1 species
GAUGAAGAACGUAGCGAAAUGCGAUAAGUAAUGCGAAUUGCAGAAUCCGUGAGUCAUCGAAUCUUUGAACGCACAUUGCGCCAUCUGGUAUUCCGGAGGGCAUGCCUGUUCGAGCGUCAUUAUCACCCCUCAAGCCCGGCUUGUUGUUGGAUGCAGCGCUUAUCCCGCUCCUCCCAAAGAUAAUGACGGCGUCUGCGACGACUCCUGUACACUGAGCUUUCGGGCACGUACACGGCUAGAAGUCCAGACCCGGUCGCCGUCCCCCCCGCGGGGACACCCAUUACCACAAGGUUGACCUCGGAUCAGGUAGGAAUACCCGCUGAACUUAAGCAUAUCAAUAAGCGGAAGA